rnacentral:rRNA from 1 species
UACGUAUGGUGCAAGCGUUAUCCAGAUUUACUGGGCGUAAAGGGAGCGCAGGCGGCGCGCCAAGUCUGAUGUGAAACCCCGGGGCUCAACCCCGGGCAUGCAUUGGAAACUGGCGGGCUGGAGUGCCGGAGAGGUAAGCGGAAUUCCUAGUGUAGCGGUGAAAUGCGUAGAUAUUAGGAGGAACACCAGUGGCGAAGGCGGCUUACUGGACGGCAACUGACGCUGAGGCUCGAAAGCGUGGGGAGCAAACAGG